rnacentral:rRNA from 1 species
GACGAACGCUGGCGGCGUGCUUAACACAUGCAAGUCGAACGGAAAGGCCCUGCUUUUGUGGGGUGCUCGAGUGGCGAACGGGUGAGUAACACGUGAGUAACCUGCCCUUGACUUUGGGAUAACUUCAGGAAACUGGGGCUAAUACCGGAUAGGAGCUCCUGCUGCAUGGUGGGGGUUGGAAAGUUUCGGCGGUUGGGGAUGGACUCGCGGCUUAUCCGCUUGUUGGUGGGGUAGUGGCUUACCAAGGCUUUGACGGGUAGCCGGCCUGAGAGGGUGACCGGCCACAUUGGGACUGAGAUACGGCCCAGAGUCCUACGGGAGGCAGAAGUGGGGAAUAUUGCACAAUGGGCGGAAGCCUGAUGCAGCAACGCCGCGUGCGGGAUGACGGCCUUCGGGUUGUAAACCGCUUUCGCCUGUGACGAAGCGUGAGUGACGGUAAUGGGUAAAGAAGCACCGGCUAACUACGUG